rnacentral:miRNA from 1 species
CAAAAUAUUAGGUUGGUACAAAAUUAAUUUUUUUUUUUUUUUUUGGCCGUUAGAAGUAAUGGCAGAAACUGCAAUUACUUUUGCACUAACCUAAUAAAAC